ACGGGGGGUGCGAGCGUUGUCCGGAAUCACUGGGCGUAAAGGGCGCGUAGGUGGCCACCAUAAGGCCGCGGUGAAAGUUCGGGGCUCAACCCCGGGUCGGCCGUGCGAACUGCUAGGCUUGAGCACUGUAGAGGCAGGUGGAAUUCCGGGUGUAGCGGUGGAAUGCGUAGAGAUCCGGAAGAACACCGGUGGCGAAGGCGGCCUGCUGGGCAG
rnacentral:rRNA from 1 species